UGGGUUUUGGGAAGCAGCUCCUGGCUGGAUGCGGGAGCUCAUCCUGAAACUCCACCAGCAGCUGGCAAAGCCCUCCCAGAGUGCUGGAGAAGGGAUUUAUUUUGGGAAUAAAUAAAUUUUGGGAAGUAAAACCCUGCUCCCGGGGGCAGGACCUGUCCUGGGAGGGUGGGAAGGAAUUUUUGGAGUUGGCCUGGUGCUCUGGAUUCUGGGGAGAAAGGGAAGGGAAGUGGCUUUUUUUGGUCUUUUCUGGAGGAGGGAAUGUGCCAGUGGAAGUGGGAGACGGAAGUUUGGAUGUCUGGGAAGGGGAGGAGGCUGGGAAUGCCCCAAAAAUAGGAGCCUGAAAUUUGGAUGUCUGGGAAGGACAGGAGAUUGGGAAUACCCAGGAGCUGGGAAUGCCCAAAUAGGUGAGAGACUGAAAUUUGGAUAUCUGGGCAAGGGGAGGAAAGUGGGAAUAGCACAAAAACAGGAGCCUGAGGUUUGGAUUCCUGGGCAAGGGGUGGAAAUUGGGAAUGCCCACAUAAAAGGAAAUCUGGGAGUCCAGGUCUGGACCCGAUUCCAGGAUUCGGGCCUGCAUCGUGGCCAUCCCUCAUUCCCAGCCCCCCACGUUUGUUUUCCCUCUCCCUGCCAACACUUCCAGGAAAAACUCCGGCCCUGCCUCGGUGCCACCGUGAGCGCUUUAUUCCCUCCCCGGGGCCACGGGGGGAGUUUCUGUUCCUUCCCUGGGAAUGAAAUCCCGGCUCUGAGCUCCCGUUCCCACCCCUCUGCCCGGGAACGGCGGCGCCGGGAGCCGGGAGCGGGCAGGGAUCCGGGCAGGGAUCGGAGCAGGGAUCGGGGCAGGAUCCGGGCAGGGAUCAGGACUGGGAUCAGGGCCAGGAUCCAGGCAGGGAUCGGGACAGGAUCUGGGCAGGGAUCCGGGCAGGGAUUGGAAUCCGGGCAGGGAUCUGGGCAGGGCAGGGAUCCAGGAAGGAAUCGGGGCAGUGUGGAGAUCCAAGCAGGGAUCAGGGCAGGAUCUGGGCAGGGCAGGGAUCCAGGAAGGGAUCGGGGCAGGGAUCCAGGCAGGAAGUGGGGCAGGGCAGGGAUCCGGGCAGGGAUCUGGGCAGGGAUCUGGGCAGGAUCGGGCAGGGAGGGGGUGCAGGGGAAGCAGCGUGUGAAUCGCACCCGGGGGCGCCGCGUGGAUCCCUCGCUGUGCCCGCACACCGGACCCGCUCCGCCGGGAUUGCUCCGCCCGGGAACGCAGCUCCGAGUCCCCGAACCCCCCCGCGGCACCGGCCUGGCGUGGGGAGAGCCGCCCUGCCCGUCCCGGCUCGGGAGGGCUCAUCCCCAGCUCCUGCAGAGCCCGAGGGUGCCCGGGGCCAGGUGGCACCCUCCGGUGACUUCUCCCCCCUUCCCCGAGCUCCUCCCGGUCUC
rnacentral:lncRNA from 1 species